UACGAAGGGGGCUAGCGUUGCUCGGAAUUACUGGGCGUAAAGCGCACGUAGGCGGAUUGUUAAGUCAGGGGUGAAAUCCUGGAGCUCAACUCCAGAACUGCCUUUGAUACUGGCGAUCUCGAGUCCGGGAGAGGUGAGUGGAACUGCGAGUGUAGAGGUGAAAUUCGUAGAUAUUCGCAAGAACACCAGUGGCGAAGGCGGCUCACUGGCCCGGUACUGACGCUGAGGUGCGAAAGCGUGGGGAGCAAACAGGGAU
rnacentral:rRNA from 1 species